AACGAACGCUGGCGGCAGGCUUAACACAUGCAAGUCGAACGCCCCGCAAGGGGAGUGGCGCACGGGUGAGUAACACGUGGGAACAUGCCCUCUAGUACGGAGCAACGUCGGGAAACUGACGCUAAUACCGUAUAAUAUCUACGGAUCAAAGAUUUAUCGCUAGAGGAGUGGCCCGCGUCUGAUUAGCUAGUUGGUGAGGU
rnacentral:rRNA from 1 species